ACAUUUAAACACAAAGAGCACGUUUCUCUCCCAUCCCAGAAUGCUGUGUGGACUAGCCAGACCCUCCUACCCAGCGCUGUGCAGGAAG